rnacentral:rRNA from 1 species
UACGGAGGAUCCGAGCGAUAUCCGGAUUUAUUGGGUUUAAAGGGUGCGUAGGCGGAUUUGUAAGUCAGCGGUAAAAAUGCGGUGCUCAACGCCGUAUCGCCGUUGAAACUGGCUGUCUUGAGAUGUCGAGAGGUAUGCGGAAUGCGCAGUGUAGCGGUGAAAUGCUUAGAUAUUGCGCAGAACUCCGAUUGCGAAGGCAGCAUACCGGCGGCGAUCUGACGCUGAGGCACGAAAGCGUGGGUAUCGAACAGG